AUUGAACGCUGGCGGCAUGCUUUACACAUGCAAGUCGAACGGUAACAGGCCGCAAGGUGCUGACGAGUGGCGAACGGGUGAGUAAUGCAUCGGAACGUGCCCAGUCGUUGGGGAUAACGCAGCGAAAGCUGUGCUAAUAACGCAUACGAUCUAUGGAUGAAAGCGGGGGACCGUAAGGCCUCGCGCGAUCGGAGCGGCCGAUGUCAGAUUAGGUAGUUGGUGGGGUAAAGGCUCACCAAGCCAACGAUCUGUAGCUGGUCUGAGAGGACGACCAGCACGACUGGGACGGCGACACGGCCCAGACUCGUACGGGAGGCAGCAGUGGGUAAUUUUGGACAAUGGGCGCAAGCCUGAACCAGCAAUGCCGAGUGCAGGAAGAAGGCCUUAGGGUUGUAAACUGCUUUUGUACGGAACGAAAAGGUUUGGGUUAAUACCCUGGGCCGAUGACGGUACCGUAAGAAUAAGCACCGGCUAACUACGUGCCAGCAGCCGCGGUAA
rnacentral:rRNA from 1 species